UGGGGUAUAGCCAAGUGGUAAGGCACCUGGUUUUGGUCCAGGCAUUCGGGAGUUCGAAUCUCUCUACCCCAGCCA
rnacentral:tRNA from 1 species